GCUGGAGGUAUCAGAAGUGCGAAUGCUGACAUAAGUAACGAUAAAGCGGGUGAAAAGCCCGCUCGCCGGAAGACCAAGGGUUCCUGUCCAACGUUAAUCGGGGCAGGGUGAGUCGACCCCUAAGGCGAGGCCGAAAGGCGUAGUCGAUGGGAAACGGGUUAAUAUUCCCGUACUUGGUGUUACUGCGAAGGGGGGACGGAGAAGGCUAUGUUGGCCGGGCGACGGUUGUCCCGGUUUAAGCGUGUAGGUGUGUGUUCCAGGUAAAUCCGGUUCACUUUAACACUGAGGCGUGACGACGAGGCACUACGGUGCUGAAGCAACAAAUGCCCUGCUUCCAGGAAAA
rnacentral:rRNA from 4 species